rnacentral:rRNA from 1 species
CCUACGGGAGGCAGCAGUGAGGAAUAUUGGUCAAUGGGCGCGAGCCUGAACCAGCCAAGUAGCGUGAGGGAAGACGGUCCUAUGGAUUGUAAACCUCUUUUGUCGGGGAGCAAAAGACGCCACGCGUGGCGUUCCGCGUGUACCCGACGAAAAAGCAUCGGCUAACUCCGUGCCAGCACCCGCGGUAAUACGGAGGAUGCGAGGGUUAUCCGGAUUUAUUGGGUUUAAAGGGUGCGCAGGCGGAAGAUCAAGUCAGCGGUAAAAUUGAGAGGCUCAACCUCUUCGAGCCGUUGAAACUGGUUGUCUUGAGUGAGCGAGAGGUAUGCGGAAUGCGUGGUGUAGCGGUGAAAUGCAUAGAUAUCACGCAGAACUCCGAUUGCGAAGGCAGCAUACCGGCGCUCAACUGACGCUGAUGCACGAAAGUGUGGGUAUCGAACAGGAUUAGAUACCCGUGUAGUC